AGUGAACGCUGGCGGUAGGCCUAACACAUGCAAGUCGAACGGCAGCACAGUAAGAGCUUGCUCUUACGGGUGGCGAGUGGCGGACGGGUGAGGAAUACAUCGGCAUCUACUUUUUCGUGGGGGAUAACGUAGGGAAACUUACGCUAAUACCGCAUACGACCUACGGGUGAAAUCAGGAGAUCUUCGCACCUUGCGCGAUUGAAUGAGCCGAUGUCGGAUUAGCUAGUUGGCGGGGUAAAGGCCCACCAAGGCGACGAUCCGUAGCUGGUCUGAGAGGAUGAUCAGCCACACUGGAACUGAGACACGGUCCAGACUCCUACGGGAGGCAGCAGUGGGGAAUAUUGGACAAAGGGCGCAAGCCUGAUCCAGCCAUACCGCGUGGGUGAAGAAGGCCUUCGGGUUGUAAAGCCCUUUUGUUGGGAAAGAAAAGCAGCAGGUUAAUACCCCGCUGUUCUGACGGUACCCAAAGAAUAAGCACCGGCUAACUUCGUG
rnacentral:rRNA from 1 species